AAUUAGUUUUAUGGCUGUGAACAUCCAGAAUAAGCUUUUCCGAACGCGAAAUGCGUGUGAAACCCAUAAAAUCGAACGUAAAACAGGUCAGGCGCACCGGCGCAGCCACGUCGGUCUGAGGGUACGCGACGCUAGCCGCAGCGCAAGCC
ensembl:ncRNA F53G12.15 ncRNA